UAAUUUGUAUUAUGCAUGUAGCUAA
rnacentral:piRNA from 1 species